rnacentral:rRNA from 1 species
AUUGAACGCUGGCGGCAGGCCUAACACAUGCGAGUCGAGCGGAUGAAGGGAGCUUGCUCCUGGAUUCAGCGGCGGACGGGUGAGUAAUGCCUAGGAAUCUGCCUGGUAGUGGGGGAUAACGUCCGGAAACGGGCGCUAAUACCGCAUACGUCCUGAGGGAGAAAGUGGGGGAUCUUCGGACCUCACGCUAUCAGAUGAGCCUAGGUCGGAUUAGCUAGUUGGUGGGGUAAAGGCCUACCAAGGCGACGAUCCGUAACUGGUCUGAGAGGAUGAUCAGUCACACUGGAACUGAGACACGGUCUAGACUCCUACGGGAGGCAGCAGUGGGGAAUAUUGGACAAUGGGCGAAAGCCUGAUCCAGCCAUGCCGCGUGUGUGAAGAAGGUCUUCGGAUUGUAAAGCACUUUAAGUUGGGAGGAAGGGCAGUAAGUUAAUACCUUGCUGUUUUGACGUUACCAACAGAAUAAGCACCGGCUAACUUCGUG